GACGAACGCUGGCGGCGUGCUUAACACAUGCAAGUCGAACGGAAAGGCCCUGCUUUUGUGGGGUGCUCGAGUGGCGAACGGGCGAGUAACACGUGAGUAACCUGCCCUGGACUUUGGGAUAACUUCAGGAAACGGGGGCUAAUACCGGAUAGGAGCUCCUGCUGCAUGGAGGGGGUUGGAAAGUUUCGGCGGUUGGUGAUGGACUCGCGGUUUAUCAGCUUGUUGGAGGGGUAGUGGGUUCCCGAGGCUUCGGCGGGUAGCCGGCCUGAGAGGGUGACCGGCCACCUUGGGGCUGGAGUACGGCCCAGACUCCUCCGGGAGGCAGCAGGGGGGGAUAUUGCGCAAUGGGCGGAAGCCUGAUGCAGCAACUCCGCGUGCGGGAUGACGGCCUUCGGGUUGUAGACCGCUUUCGCCUGUGACGAAGCGUGCGUGACGGUAAUGGGUAAAGAAGCCCCGGCUAACUACGUG
rnacentral:rRNA from 1 species